AAGAUGUUAGUUAAUACAUAACACUGCCUUGUCAAGGCGUAAUUACAGAUUUAACCCUGUACAUCUUU
rnacentral:tRNA from 1 species